UUUACCGUACCUGUAGUGAUUUACGACGAUGAUAAUCGCUGCCAUUUACCUUGCAUAGUAGAUAGGAACGAAAAGGGCCGAAAGAAACUGCGAAGGUGUCAACUGUGUGCCAUGUCUGGUCGUGGACGGAAACGGACUCACGUGUACUGUUCCACCUGUCCGGGCAAACCUGCCCUCUGUGAGGCUACUAACAAAUUUGUACCGAAUCCGCUUUACUGUCCAAACGGUUGCAGUUCUAAGUACUGGGGUGCGAAGAGAAAGAGCAAUCUGAACCGCCAUUUGAACUACGAGUGUGGCGUACCCAAAAAGUUCCAGUGCAUUUAUUGCCGCAAAAUGUUCACACAAAAAUUUAACAUGAAAAAACACAUUGCGAGCAUUCACAAUCUACUUCUUUAAAAUAUUUAAAAAAUAUAUGACAAUGCCAGAUCCAGUAUACUGCCCUAACAGAUGCGGUCGUUGUUACAAAGGGUCAAGAAGAAAAGGAAAUCUCAAGAGGCAUUUGAGCAAUGAAUGUGGUGUGCCUAGAAAGUUUCAAUGUUUCUACUGCUGGAAACGGUUCGCUCAAAAAUACGAUUUAAAAAAACAUUGUAUUUUCGUUCACAAAAUAAUUGAAAAGUAAUUUGUACUUCCCGGAUCCGCUUCCUUGUCCCCGCAAGUGUGGUCGAGCAUACCGAGGAAAAUUCCGAAAAUCGAAUCUCAAAAGGCAUAUAAAUCUGGAAUGUGGAGUGGAACCUCAGUUCGAGUGUCCGAAAUGCUUAAAAAAGUUUUCGGACAAAGGAAGCUGUAAACGACAUAUAAUAACUAUACAUAAAGUUGUAAUGUGAAAAUUGUGAACUUAUCAUUUGUUAAUUGUCCUGUUACACGCCAACAGCUAUACAUGUAGCACAUAUUAUUAUUUAUACGAAAAAUUACUCAACAAAAAAAUGAAAAAAUAAGAGGAAAGUUUGGAAAAAAAAGUUUAUUAAAUUUAUAUAUUCGGUGGAUUCAUUAUAUGUAAGUUAUUCACUGGUUUUAGUAGUUGGCAUAUUUAUAUUUUAGUGGGAUAAUAGAGUUUUAAUCAAAAUGUAUAUUAUGUAAAAAAAAACUGUUGGUCUGAAUUGCGUUACCAUGUUCAUAAUGAAACUCUAUAAUAAUAUGUCAUCUAGAA